AAUUGACAUCACAAUAAUAAAAUCAACAGCAGCAGAAGUGCAAUAUCAACCAAAAAUCAAUUUAUACACCCUAAAGCAAAGCCAAAUAACCUCAUUGAACUGCCCACAAUGGCAACUGUAGAAAUACUCAAUAAUCAAACAACAUCAAAGCCAUAUAUGAUUUUGAUCUAAGGACCACUCCACAGUCCCUCUCUGGUAAUUUAGUUUCUAUCAAGAUAUCAAUUUUGUCGUCAAUCAUGUUAAAAAACAAAUGAAUAUGUCUGUCUAUAGGGUUGUGUCUGUUUAUGAAUAGGUGUUUAAAUUAACAGUUAUGUGUCUAUAUAUAUAUGUACUAUGUUUCUUCAUUAGAAACAUAGAAUUAUAGUAAUAUAUUGUAAUCUUUCAAUAUUAUAUACAUUUUCUCAUUCCUCGAUUCUUCAUCUCUUCUUCCGCCUAACUAACGGGUGGUUGUUAUUCUCCACCCGCCGGGCUUUUGGAUAUUUCAAAUUCACCAUGAUAUUAGAGCCUACUUCCCUAGGCUAUUUUCCUUCCAAUUUUCUAGCGUAAACAGAAGAUCGCGACUAUCUCUUGGAUUCCAACGUGUCUAGGGUGGUUUACUUCAAAAUCUACCACCACAAUCACACUCAAAAUCACACCAUGACCUUGCCCAAGAAACGCCAAUGUCAUCCGCCGCUGCACGCGCCAUCACAAAUUGUCAGAACUCCGUUUGGCUUUUUUCAGAUCUCUUAUUCUCCGGUGAUUUUGUGAUCUCACCUCCUACACCAUUGGAUUCCUCUCCUUUUUGUGACCUUAUUUAGAAAAUUUCCUCGUUAUCCUACACCGUCGCCGGCAUCACGGGCCAACGAGCUUUCCUAAUUUCCAAAUUGUUAUUUUGCCAUUCUUUGGACCUUUUGGUGAAGUUUGAAGGCUUUAUGGAUUUGUUGCCAAACUUCUUUCUAGGGUAUUUUGGUAUAACCGUAUUUGUCUCUUUAUUUUCGCUAUACCAUAUUUAUUCCCGAGGGCUGCUCUUGAUGAAGAUUGUUGUUGGCAAGUCCUAGAGUGCUUAUGUUGUUGUGAGGUUGUUCAUGUUAAGCUUCGCCUUGGUGCAUUGAUCUUCAUUCCCAGGGGUUGUGCAUAGUGUCGCCUCUCUGAAGCCAUUCAACACUGUUAUCCUCUAGUUGCAUUUAAUCUUCAUUUGUAAUUUAGAGUAAGGUGGAGUGUAUGUUUUAAUCCAAGCUUGAAACUUCGAGAUGUUCCAAGUUGAGGGGAGUGUUAAAAAACAAAGGGUUAUGUCUGUCUAUAGGGUUGUGUCUGUUUAUGAAUAGGUGUUUAAAUUAACAGUUAUGUGUCUUUAUGUAUAAACAUAGAAUUAUAGUAAUAUAUUGUAAUCUUUCAGUAUUAUAUACAUUUUCUCAUUCCUUGAUUCUUCA